AGUGAGCGCUGGCGGUAGGCCUAACACAUGCAAGUCGAACGGCAGCACAGUAAGAGCUUGCUCUUACGGGUGGCGAGUGGCGGACGGGUGAGGAAUACAUCGGAAUCUACUUUUUCGUGGGGGAUAACGUAGGGAAACUUACGCUAAUACCGCAUACGACCUACGGGUGAAAGCAGGGGAUCUUCGGACCUUGCGCGAUUGAAUGAGCCGAUGUCGGAUUAGCUAGUAGGCGGGGUAAAGGCCCACCAAGGCGACGAUCCGUAGCUGGUCUGAGAGGAUGAUCAGCCACACUGGAACUGAGACACGGUCCAGACUCCUACGGGAGGCAGCAGUGGGGAAUAUUGGACAAUGGGCGCAAGCCUGAUCCAGCCAUACCGCGUGGGUGAAGAAGGCCUUCGGGUUGUAAAGCCCUUUUGUUGGGAAAGAAAAGCAGCAGGUUAAUACCCCGCUGUUCCGACGGUACCCAAAGAAUAAGCACCGGCUAACUUCGUG
rnacentral:rRNA from 1 species